CACGUAGGGGGCAAGCGUUGUCCGGAUUUAUUGGGCGUAAAGAGCUCGUAGGUGGUUCGGUAAGUCAGGCGUGAAACCUCCAGGCUCAACCUGGAGACGCCACUUGAUACUGCUGUGACUGGAGUCCGGUAGGGGAGCGUGGAAUUCCUGGUGUAGCGGUGAAAUGCGCAGAUAUCAGGAGGAACACCAGCGGCGAAGGCGGCGCUCUGGGCCGGUACUGACACUGAGGAGCGAAAGCGUGGGGAGCAAACAGG
rnacentral:rRNA from 1 species